AUGACCGUACGUACCUACAUCUAUGAAAAUGCCGUGCAAGAAAUCUUUUCUCACACGCUAUUGAAAAACAAACUCACUAAGUUUAUCCAGCUUUUCACAUUCACUCGAUUUUUAUUGAUUUUCAUAAGUGAAGCACGUGACAGUAUUACAUACAUGCAAAGUAGCUUAUAUAUAGAUAAUAAAAUGAAUAUAUCGCACAAUCCUCUGCAUCAUAUGGCUCAUCACCGUCUCAAUCGAUUGGAAUCAUAAAUUAAGAACCUGCGGAAAAUCUUCCAGCCUACGCGGCUAAGCUAUUGGUAGGCGCAUCAGCCUUGGACGGAAUAGCGUCCGGAUUGGAAAGCGGAUCCAAC